GGUGCCUUCGGGAACUCUGACACAGGUGCUGCAUGGCUGUCGUCAGCUCGUGUCGUGAGAUGUUGGGUUAAGUCCGUAACGAGCGCAACCCUUGUCCUUAGUUACCAGCACGUUAUGGUGGGCACUCUAAGGAGACUGCCGGUGACAAACCGGAGGAAGGUGGGGAGUGACGUCAAGUCAUCAUGGCCCUUACGGCCUGGGCUACACACGUGCUACAAUGGUCGGUACAAAGGGUUGCCAAGCCGCGAGGUGGAGCUAAUCCCAUAAAACCGAUCGUAGUCCGGAUCGCAGUCUGCAACUCGACUGCGUGAAGUCGGAAUCGCUAGUAAUCGUGAAUCAGAAUGUCACGGUGAAUACGUUCCCGGGCCUU
rnacentral:rRNA from 1 species